rnacentral:rRNA from 1 species
UUCGGAGUACCCGCGGUCAGACGGAAAGACCCCGUGCACCUUUACUACAGCUUUGCAGUGGCAUCAGAAGAUGAAUGUGUAGGAUAGGCGGGAGGCUUUGAAGCACCGGCGCCAGUUGGUGUGGAGCCAUCCUUGAAAUACCGCCCUUUGAUCUUUUGAUGUCUAACCGCGGACCGUCAUCCGGUUCCGGGACCCUGCAUGGCGGGUAGUUUGACUGGGGCGGUCGCCUCCCAAAGAGUAACGGAGGCGCGCGAUGGUGGG